rnacentral:rRNA from 1 species
CGUUAAUCGGAAUUACUGGGCGUAAAGCGUGCGCAGGCGGUUUGCUAAGACAGGUGUGAAAUCCCCGGGCUUAACCUGGGAACUGCGCUUGUAACUGGCAAGCUGGAGUGUGGCAGAGGGGGGUGGAAUUCCACGUGUAGCAGUGGAAUGCGUAGAGAUGUGGAGGAACACCGAUGGCGAAGGCAGCCCCCUGGGCUAACACUGACGCUCAUGCACGAAAGCGUGGGGAGCAAACAGG